ACGGCAGUAUUAUAGUGGCAGUAUACGACCCUCCCAAGGUUGUGACCCGGGUUCAAAUCCCGGCUGCCGUA
rnacentral:tRNA from 1 species